UAUUGGUCAAUGGUCGGGAGACUGAACCAGCCAAGCCGCGUGAGGGAGGAAGGUACAGAGUAUCGUAAACCUCUUUUGUCGGGGAACAAAAGCGGGGACGCGUCCCCGUCUGCGUGUACCCGAAGAAAAAGCAUGGGCUAACCCCGUGCCAGCAGCCGCGGUAAUACGGAGGAUGCGAGCGUUAUCCGGAUUUAUUGGGUUUAAAGGGUGCGUAGGCGGUAUGGUAAGUCAGCGGUAAAAGCCCGGGGCUCAACCCCGGCGAGCCGUUGAAACUGCCGUGCUAGAGAGGAAGAGAAGUAGGCGGAAUGCGCAGUGUAGCGGUGAAAUGCUUAGAUAUUGCGCAGAACUCCGAUUGCGAAGGCAGCCUACCGGCUUCUGUCUGACGCUGAGGCACGAAAGCGUGGGUAUCG
rnacentral:rRNA from 1 species